AUGUUUAAAAAACAGCAGUUACACUGUUUUCAAAUGACCUCACUACAUGGUUUAUUUAUGUCUGCACAUCCAUAAAUGGAAAGUAAAGUGGAAACAUUGUGUUGCAUUGUGGGCUACAGUAUCCCACUCAAUGCACUACAUUUUGACAAAAGCAAUAGGUCCUCCAAACCUUCCAUGUACACAGAAAAGGUUAACUCAGUGCACAACGUAUGUCUAGAUACUGCUAAAAUUGUAUGAGUAGUUUGAUAGCAUGGUAUUCCAAACUGGUUAUGACCUUUCACUUCCCUGUUUGCUCUCACUAGACAUGGACUCCAUCGAAUCUUUUCUUGUCGUGGAAUCGCCAUCGCUGUAGAGGCGUUUUGGCACCGAGGGCACCGUGAAAUCACUGUCUUUGUUCCUCAGUGGAGACAGAAAAAAGACCCCAACAUCACUGAACAACACUUUCUGACCCAGCUGGAAAACUUGCGACUCCUUUCUUUCACUCCAUCUAGAGAAGUGUGUGGGCAGAGAAUUUCCUCCCAUGAUGACAGAUUCCUACUUCAUCUGGCUGAGAAGACAGGUGGGGUUAUCAUCACCAAUGACAACCUGAGGGACUUUGUGAACCAGUCAGAAGUGUGGAGAAGGAUUAUUCAGGAGAGGUAAGAAGAACACCUUUACAGCAAGAUGUCCAGAACACCAUCAGUGCUUUUUU